AUACGGAGGGUGCAAGCGUUAAUCGGAAUUACUGGGCGUAAAGAGUACGUAGGUGGUUUGUUAAGUCAGAUGUGAAAGCCCCGGGCUCAACCUGGGAACUGCAUUUGAAACUGGCAAACUAGAGUAUGGUAGAGGGGGGUAGAAUUUCUAGUGUAGCGGUGAAAUGCGUAGAUAUUAGAAGGAAUACCAGUGGCGAAGGCGGCCCCCUGGACCAAUACUGACACUGAGGUACGAAAGCGUGGGGAGCAAACAGGAUUAGAAACCCUAGUAGUCC
rnacentral:rRNA from 1 species